rnacentral:lncRNA from 1 species
UAAAUUAGUAAUAUAUUGACCAUGCUUUACUAUCUCAAAAUUAGAAUACAGUUUGUCAUAGAUACAUUCACAAUUAGAAUACAAAUAUGAGGGAUUGUGCAAGAAAAUCUCAGACAUACGGUGAUCUCAAACUGAGAUCUUUCAAUCCAAACACAUCAUUUUAUUUUAAAGGAGGAAACUGAGGUGAAUGAAGUAGCUGCUUAUGAACUAAGUUGAAAGCAGCAAUCAUCUACGAAGACCCUAUUCGGUGCUUUCUCUCCUCUCCACCUUACACCAGAGUGGGGAAAAGAUCCGAGUACCAAUGUCAUGAAUAUAUCAAGUAAUCAGAGCACCAGGGAGAAGAAAACAGCGUUCACAGCUAGAGAAAAUGCAAAGGUAGCACUGCAUGUAAAUACAAGAAAGACUAGAAUAGUAUGAUUUGCUUCUCAGGCACAGCAGGGAAAUUAUCUAAGAGGAUGUCAAAAGUAUGCAAAUGUGAUUGAGUGCUGAAUGCAAAGGACCCAAGACAAUCUGAGAAGCUGGUGGUUGGGGUCUCAAUGAACUCCUCAUCUACAGGACUAAGAGGAAAGUUGUUCUUCCUGCUCAGGCAUUUGUAAGGGCUGAUGAGUAUCAGAAAAGCUUUCAUUCAUGACUCCAGAGAGACCUUUCCUCACUGCUGUGUCUGAAGCAAACUCACAUUCCUGCCAACUUUCUCUAAGGAUAUUACACUGUUUACCUGCCUCUUCAAGAUCCUUAGGCCUUACAUCCCUGGUGCACUAUUCUAACUCCGGUGCCAAACACGUAACAGCACUCAAGAAAUGACUUGUUAAAGGAGUAAAUCUGAAUGUCCUAUUUGAUGUUGGGCCCUUAGAGGACAAGAGUAAUAUUUGUUACUUUGUGCAUCUUUAGUGCCAAGCAAAAUGUUCCACAAAUAUUUGGAGUACACUUAAAUAGUUUCUCAAAUAAAUUAUCACACUUGGAAAAAAA